UUUUUACCUAUUCUGAGAUAUCUAUUUUACAUCCUCGAUGUGAUGACUUAUUUCUGUUUUGUUCUAAAAUACUACAGUAGUUUUAAAGUAUGUCUACAAGGUAUUUGUCACAACUUCAUCAAAGGUUGGAAUCUAACCUUCUUCCCCAUAAAUGUCGGCUGCUGAAAUUAAUGAAGAUCGUCUAACAAAUAGAAUGUGGUGAAAAUGAUGCUAAGCGACUUUGAUUACUAGGUCAUAAAAGGGAUGGCUUGUGCCUGGCGCUUUCUGGCUCUUGAACCUCCCUGUUUCUGGGGAAAACCAGCCACCAUCCUGAGAGGACACUUAAGCAGCCCUGUGGAGAGGCCCAUGUGGAGAGGAAUCAAUUUAUCAGCAUCCACUUUUCAGAAAUGAUGGAUCUAUUGCAAUCCUGGCUGGAAGAUCUUCCCCUUCACAGCUGCUUUGUGUGUGCUUCUGCUAGACACCUGUAGUGAACACAGUGAUGUCCACCCUGAUAUAUCUUCAGGAACAAAGAGCUUAUUGUCCCUGAGACUGACAGUGCCACCAGCAGACAGUCCUCAGCUUCCAGCCCCCUUCUGACAUUGCCCUGCCACCCAAGAUCUGCAGAUCAAGAAAAACUGUACUGAAGGAGCUAGCUAUAUUUGAGGAAUUACAUCCAAGUAUCCUCAUCCACACAUGGGACAGAGUUAGACAAUGAGAUCCUGGACUUUGAACUGAUGCUAUAAUUGGAUGAGACUUUGGAGGGAUUUGAGAAGUGCCCAGGGUGAAAAUGCAUCAACAGUUAACAGGAAUGAGACCCGCAUGGUGUGUACAGUCCAGACCACCAAGCUGGAGAAGCUAGUUGAGCACCUGGUGCCCGCCUUCCUGGUCAGUGGCCUUACCUACAUCCCCACAUUCCUGUGUACAUAUAGAGCUUUUCCUACUACCC
rnacentral:lncRNA from 1 species